AGAUGUUAGGGCACUCUGUCACAUCUGUUACCCUGUUAAUCAACUGGGUUGAUUUGACUGGUCUAGCUACCUAGACUACCUAGAUGUCACUCCUGAACCUGUGGGCUUGGUUGAAGAGGACAAACUUCCCCAAUAGAGGCAUACUAUUCCUCAGUCAAGGGUAUGUGAAUAGCUUGCUAGCACAAGCUCCCAAGAAAAAUAAUCUAGCACUAUUUAAAACUAUAUUACAGGUUUGUAACUCUAU
rnacentral:snRNA from 1 species